rnacentral:lncRNA from 7 species
GAUCUACGGUUUCAAUGUGGUGCAAAAUUUCUUAUAUGUACAAAAUAGGGUGCACGAAGAAAACACAUUUUUCGGUGGGCUCAUUUGUUGAGUGAAUCUAGAUUAAAUUGAACUAAUGCUUUAUUUAGAGGUAUAAAUUAAUCUCCAGUAUUUGGACGCUGAUUAAUGACCAAAUGGUACUCCUAGUUAAUAAUCCUGAUUAUAUAUAGGAUAGAGUGUGUGUUUGUUUGUUUUUUG